rnacentral:lncRNA from 1 species
CAGCUGCCUCCUCUCCCGGAGCCAGCCGUUUGAGGUCUUGGCUCAAAUCUUUUCUUCUUGAUGACACCUAGCCUCAGCCCCCUGUUUAAUACUGCAACCUGAUUCCUAUGCCUUGAUCUUCCUUUUACCUCUGGUCCAGAGCAAGCCUGGCUGUCUAACGUACUUUAUAACGCACUUAUUUAUUAUGGGUAUUGUUUGUGGUAAGUUUCUGCUGGAAGUGAGGCCCCCAGAGAGGAGGAACCGUUCUGUUCACUGAUGCAUCCCCUGUGUCUAGACUGGUGCUCACUAUGUGUCAGAUGCAGUGACUGAGGAACUUGGGGCCUGAGUGGUGAAGUAACCUGCCCAUGGUCACCCAGCUCAUCGCGGGAGGAGCAGGGAAUCAAGCCCAGACUCUGGCCCCAGAAUCCAAGCUCUGAACCGCUGAGGUCUACUGCCCGCCCAGUGACACCCUGCAUCUUUCUGAUGAUCUCCGCCCCUCUUGUCCAGGCCUCACCAGGCUAGGCCUGUACCCUCUUCUGUUUCCACCCAGGCUGAUGUCUGGAUUCUCCCUGGGCUCCUGCUCCAGCCUCCACAUCCCUUCAGGAAGUGGAUUGGGCUGUGUGGUCCCCACCAACUGUCCCCUCGGUGCCUGUGCCUCCCUCAGAGGGGCGGGCGGUAGGCCUCCAAGCAAACUCCUCCUAACCUUUGCCUGGCCUCGCUGGUGGCAGACAGCUAUUAGAGUGGCUCUUGACUUUGAGAGACACCUGAAUGAUAUUUCAGCAGCUCUCUGUGGCCUGUUCCCUGGUCCUUUUACCUUCAGGCUAAUCCUGCCAUCUCAGAAGUCCUGCUCUCUGGCAGUUUUUGCAUCAGGGAGGGUCAAGACACAAUCCUGAGCUGCUGCUGGUUCCGGUGAGGACCAACAGCUGAUCUCAGCAGCCUCUAGGUUCCACCGGACCAGGCCACAGCUCACCUUCCACCUCGCCUCCACACGGCAGAAGAGGUGUCAAGUGCCGGGGUUGAGGCGGGGGAAGCAAGGGGGCGGACCCAGAGCGUGGCUCAGCCAGAGACCCGUGCUCCACCGCGUCAGCUCCGUAUGUCUCCUAGGUUGUGGGAAAAAGUGAUAAUGAUGAUUGCAAACUCCAUACCUUUUCAGCCUCUUUCUUUUCUGCGGUCAACCGUCUGUCAUCAUUGGUCCGGCAUGACCUACUUCUACUUAUUUGAUUAGCUUUUUUUUUUUUUUUUAAAAGAUUGUAUUUUUUUCCUUUUUCUCCCCAAAGCCCCCCGGUACAUAGUUGUAUAUUCUUCAUUGUGGGUCCUUCUAGUUGUGGCAUGUGGGAUGCUGCCUCAGCGUGGUUUGAGGAGCUGUGCCAUGUCCGCGCCCAGGAUUCGAACCAACGAAACACUGGGCCACCUGCAGCGGAGCGCGCGAACUUAACCACUCAGCCACGGGGCCAGCCCCUGAUUAGCUAUUUUUAACAAUAAGCACAUGCAAACCCACUACCCCGAACAAAAGCUGGAACCCUGACAAUAACUUAUACCUGGUCACACGGUCCCCACUCCAUCCCAGCUCGUCUCCACAGUGCACAGAGUGUCCGGUCUCCGUCCUGAAGCCUGCCUGCUUUGUUUUUGCCCUGGCUUUUCAAUAGUUUUUUUGCAUCCGUAUGUGUUCCUAGAAAGUGUAUCUCUAUAUUUUCAUUUUAUAAAGUGGGUGUCAUGCUGUUUGUAAUCUUCUCAGACAUCCUGCUAUACUGCUAAGAUUCAGCCACGUGUGGCGUCUCAGUGGCUCAUUCAUUCUGAAUCCCUCAGAAAAUCCCACUGGGUGAGUGUGUUCCUGCCCACAGACAGGUGAAGGCCUUUCAGGUUUUGCCUUCGUGGCUAGUGUGCUCCGAGCACUGCCAACACUUCUUGUCCUAGUUUCAACAUUGCUGCCAUGUUGUUGAAUUAGCUAGUCUUCUUUCAUCAUUUUUUAAUGUCUAGUUAAACAUGUGGUCAUGUCCCCCUUUUCAUCCAUAAGAUUUUUUUGUUUCUUUUUUCUUGAGCAACCUUGACAGAAACUGACCUAUUUUGUUACUUUCCCUAAAAAGGUAACCUUUGGCUUUGUCAAUCUCUCUUGUAUCUUUGUUUCCUACUUUAAUAAUCUGCGCUUAUUUUCAUCAUUUUGUUGUUCUUUCUCUAAUUUCUUAAAAUGGAACCCCAGCUUAUUAAUCUUGAGGCUCUCAUCUUUUCUAAUAUAAGUAUUUAAGGUUAUAAAUUUCCCUCAAACACUGUUUUUUCUGUAUCUCACAAGCUUUGAUAUGUAAAACUUUCAUUUUCAUUCACUUCUGGAUAUUUUAAAGAUUUCAUAUGGUUUCCUCUUGAAAAGUGAAUGAGUUAUUUCACAAUUUUUAAAACAUUUCCAAGUGUAUUGGGAUUAUUUACCUUUUUAAAGGGCAGAGAUUGUGGUUUGCAUGAUAUUUAUUUUUUUUAACUAGUUGUUUCUUUCUGGCUUAUAUAAUCAAAAUGUUAAUGCUCCGUGUGCUUGGAAAACCCAAAUGUGUGUGCUCAAAUUGCUGCGUACACCUGUCUCUGUGUCCAUUAGAUCAAGGGUGUUAGCUGCAUCAUUCGGACUUUCUACAUCCUCGUCGGGCCUUCUAUGUCCUCCCCUUGUGGUUGGCUUGACUCAUCGGUAGUCAAGACGUGUGUUGAAAUCUCCACCAUGAAGAUGAAUUCACUGAUUUCUCCUUGUAGUUCUAUCAAUGGUUCUUCUAUAUAUUUUGAAGUUAUUUUAUUGGGUACAUACACGGAAAUCUCUUCUUGGUGAAUUUAAUCUUUCAUCAUCAUGUAGUCAUCUUUGUCAUCCUUAAUAAUGCUUUUUGUCCUGAAGUCUAUCGUACCUGACAUGAGCACAGCGACACCAGCUCUCUUUGGUCAG